GCGGCGGUGGCGGAACUGGUAUACGCGAUGGAUUCAAAAUCCAUUGCUCGCAAGGGCAUGUGGGUUCGAUUCCCACCCGCCGCA
rnacentral:tRNA from 1 species